rnacentral:rRNA from 1 species
GACGAACGCUGGCGGCGUGCCUAAUACAUGCAAGUCGAACGGUCUUUCUAUGGAAGCUUGCUUCCACUGAGAAGAUAGUGGCGAACGGGUGAGUAACACGUGGGUAACCUGCCCAUAGGAGGGGGAUAACAUCCGGAAACGGGUGCUAAUACCGCAUAGUUUUCUUGAUUGCAUGAUUGAGAAAGGAAAGACGGCCUUUGUGCUGUCGCUUAUGGAUGGACCCGCGGCGUAUUAGUUAGUUGGUGAGGUAACGGCUCACCAAGACGAUGAUACGUAGCCGACCUGAGAGGGUGAUCGGCCACAUUGGGACUGAGACACGGCCCAAACUCCUACGGGAGGCAGCAGUAGGGAAUCUUCCGCAAUGGACGAAAGUCUGACGGAGCAACGCCGCGUGAGUGAAAGAAGGUUUUCGGAUCGUAAAACUCUGUUGUCAGAGAAGAACAAGUUGGAGAGUAACUGCUCCAGCCUUGACGGUAUCUGACCAGAAAGCCACGGCUAACUACGUGCCAGCCGCCGC